ACUUUUACUUCUUGCCUACAGCUCUCUGCAUUUACUUUGUCCCUGAUACUUUUUAUGUGGAUAGAUGUUUUGCCUACGUGUAUGGACGAGGACCACUUAGGUGCCUUGUAUCUACAGAAGAGGUCAUCAGACUACAGCUGUCAGCCACCCUGUGAUGGUGACAUCCUGAGUCCUCUGGCAGAGCAGCCAGUGCUCUGAACUACUGAGCCAUCUCUCUAAGCCCUCACAUUUGUUUUUUUUUUUUUAAUUUUUAAUUUUAAUUUUUUGGUUUUUUGAGACAGGGUUUCUCUGUGUAGCCCUGGCUGUCCUGGAACUCACUUUGUAGACUAGGCUGGCCUCGAAAUCAGAAAUCCACCUGCCUCUGCCUCCCGAGUGCUGGGAUUAAAGACGUGCGCCACCACGCCCGGCAACAUUUGUUUUUUAAAGGUAGUCUAGUAUUCAGCAUAUCACUUAUGUCCCCUCCCCAGGGAAAAGAAAUCCCUUUUAGUUAUUAGUGUUUCUUCAUAACCUUGAAGAUCCAUCUAAUUUAAGGACUUUUAACUUUUUGUUUAUUUUUAAAUGGAGUGUAUUUGUAUAUGUCUGUACCUGUGAGUGCACUGGUUCUAGAGGACAGGAGAGAACAUUGGAUCCCCUAGAGCUGACAUGGGUACUGGGAAUUGAACCUGGGUCCUCUGCAAUAACCACUGAGCUAUCUCUCCAGCCUCAGGACUUUUUUUCUUUACAUGCUUUUAAACCUCUGUUGAUCUUAUUUAAAUGUUUUGAGUUAGUUGGUGCUAUAUUGGUACAACUAUUGAAUUCCGUUGUAAGAAUUUAUACUUUAACACCAGCUUAUAGGCUCAUUGUGUGUUUAUAUUUUUCAUAGAUAGUUAUAUUGAUUUCUAAGUAAGUUUUACUUCACCCAAAUAAUCCUUAAAUUAGGGACAUACUUUCCCCUCCCCCAAGCUUUUAAGGUUAGAGGUGUGUCUGCAGUGUCACAUACCCUAAACCCACUAAUAUCGUCUUUAUCUAAUAUAACUAUUGGUUUAUUAUCUUUACAAAGCUAAUUUUGUGUGUGUGUGUGUGUAUGUGUGAAACAGAGACAGAGCAUAUUUUUGUAACUGUUCAGUUGUACAAUCAUGCCCCCUCUUAGAUGUGCCUUGUGCUGUACACUGACUUGCUAAACACAUUCUGGCUCUUCAGUGAACAGAUUGAGACCACAGUCAGAAUUUACUACAAAUGCUUGUUGACUCAUGGCUGCACCAGGGUUAUGGACAUAUACUCCCAUGAAUUUCUGUGUGUAUUCUGGAGAUAUGCAUUCAGGUCCUUGUGCCAGAUGGCAAGUACUCUGCUUACUGAGCCAUCUCUCUAGGCCCAGCAUACACACAUUUUCAUGAAAUAAUCUGAAAGAAAAUGUGGGGAAACUUUCUAUUCUAAUAUAUAGUUAUUGGCCCCUAAGGGUACCUAUGAUGUAGAAAAGCAGCCUUCAUCUGGGUGGGGUGGCACAUACCUGUAAACCUAGCAUUUGGGAAGCAGAGACAGAUCUUUGUGAGUCCAAGGUCAACUUGGACUACAUAGCAAGUUCCACGCCAGCCAUGUUUAAUCACUGUCUUCAAAGGAGGUGGGAAGGUAGGUAUGACUUAGGUAUUUUUUUAAAGUUACAUUUUAUGUACAUGUACAGGAAUCCAUGGAGAUUACAAGACAGCUUGUGGGAGUUGGUUCUCUCAACCAAGUAGAUCCUAUAGAUCAAAGUCUGAAGUUGGGUUGCCAGGCUUGGCAACAAGUGCCUUCACCUGCUGAGCCAUAUCACUGGUCUUCAUUUAAUAUUUAAAAACUACCCACUCACAUAGGGAUAUACUGUGGGACACACUAUGACAUACAACAGCUUUCUGUGAUGAGAUGUUUUCUCUGCUUUGUUGUUUGCGUGUAUUGUGUUUUAUUUUGGAUGUGGGGGAGGUUGCAAGGGUGAAGGGUGGGUAUGGGGACAGGGAAAUGAGUAGGACUGAAGUGCAUGAUGUGAAACAACAAAUCAAUAAAACGUUUUUUAAAAUC
rnacentral:lncRNA from 1 species